UGACAAUUGUAUGAUACGUGGGACUCCUUCCAGGCUCUGAUACUCAGCAGAAGCUAUCUUACGAGGUCAAGAUGAGCUCCUGGCCAGGUUUUCAGGGGAGCUGCGUUUUCCAGUAUUAGUGACAAUUGUAUGAUACGUGGGACACCUUCCAGGCUCUGAUACUCAGCAGAGUAAGCAAUAACUAGUGAAACAUUUUGGUUACUAUCAACACAGCCGCAUUGCAGAGGUCUUCAGGGUCGUUCACAUUGAUUGAGGACUC